rnacentral:misc_RNA from 1 species
AAGACUAUAGACCUGCGGAGUACCUGCGGAAGGAUCAUUACAAAUCUUUGUGUUGGCCUCUAGGCUUUCUAGCCUUAGGCUUGACAUUUGCGCUUGUUGUGUUUGACAGAGUAAUAUUGUGAUAUAUAUCAAAGACAACUUUCAGCAACGGAUCUCU